rnacentral:tRNA from 1 species
GGGCACGUAGCUCAGUCCGGCAGAGCACAUCGUUCGCAACGAUGGGGCCCCGAGUUCAAAUCUCGGCGUGUCCA